rnacentral:rRNA from 1 species
UACGGAGGGUGCAAGCAUUAAUCGGAUUUAUUGGGCGUAAAGAGCGCGUAGGUGGGAAUGAAAGUCAGACGUGAAAUCCCGAAGCUCAACUUCGGAACUGCGUUUGAAACUUCAUUUCUUGAGAGUAGACGGAGAAAACGGAAUUCCGCAUGUAGCGGUGAAAUGCGUAGAUAUGCGGAAGAACACCCGUGGCGAAAGCGGUUUUCUAGUUUACAUCUGACACUGAGGCGCGAAAGCUAGGGGAGCAAACAGG